rnacentral:rRNA from 1 species
UACGUAGGGGGCAAGCGUUGUCCGGAUUUACUGGGCGUAAAGAGCGUGUAGGCGGCCAAGCAGGUCCGUUGUGAAAACUGGAGGCUUAACCUCCAGACGUCGACGGAAACCGCGUGGCUAGAGUCCGGAAGAGGAGAGUGGAAUUCCUGGUGUAGCGGUGAAAUGCGCAGAUAUCAGGAAGAACACCGGUGGCGAAGGCGGAUCUCUGGGCCUGAUCUGACGCUGAGGCGCGAAAGCUAGGGGAGCGAACAGG